rnacentral:rRNA from 1 species
AGCAGCCGCGGUAAUUCCAGCCCCAAUAGCGUAUAUUAAAGUUGUUGCAGUUAAAAAGCUCGUAGUUGAAUUUCGGGAUUAGUGCGCUGGUCAUGCCUUUGGUAUGUACUGGUGUUACUGAUUUCUACCUUCUGAAGAACCGUUAUGUCAUUUAUUUGGUGUGGCGGGGAAUCAGGACUGUUACUUUGAAAAAUUAGAGUGUUUAAAGCAGGCUCGCGCUUGAAUACAUUAGCAUGGAAUAAUGAAAUAGGACGUUUGACCCUAUUUUGUUGGUUUCUAGGAUCGACGUAAUGAUUAAUAGGGAUAGUUGGGGGCAUUAGUAUUCAAUUGUCAGAGGUGAAAUUCUUGGAUUUAUUGAAGACUAACUACUGCGAAAGCAUUUGCCAAGGAUGUUUUCAUUAAUCAAGAACGAAAGUUAGGGGAUCGAAGACGAUCAGAUACCGUCGUAGUCUUAACCAUAAACUAUGCCGACUAGGGAUCGGAUGAUGUUAAUUUUUAAUGUACUCAUUCGGCGCCUUAC